CAUGAAUUGUAUACAUAAACCGAGAAACAUCAGGAGCAUUAACGGCAUCUAUUCACACACCCACACAAGAAGUAGAUAAUGAGGAGUUACUACUAAAAGAAGGAAUAAACAGCAGGAACACAAGAGAACACAGUAAAAUAUUGAGAAAAUGAAGAUGCUUGAGAGACCAAAAAAAAUAUAGCUUCCCGCAAAGAAACAUAGAGGUUUGGAUCAGAAUAAGUGAGGAUGUACUAUCGGUGAAGAGUGUGCACAACUUUAAGGAAAAACUGGACAAGUAUAGAUAUGGAGACGGGACCACACGAGCAUAAGCCCAGGCCCUGUAAAAUUACAACUAGGUAAAUACAAACACACAUACACACACACACUCACACUAUGGAAAUUGGAGUCAGUGUGAAAUGUGGGAUUACAGACACGAACAGACUGCAUAAAUAAAGAGUAUGAUGAUGGUGAGAUACUUGCCAUAAAAUUCAUAGAGGUUAGAAAGCAUCGGUUCACCAUAUUCAAGAGUCAUUGGAACGGACGUCAAUAUAUGUGAAGCAGAGGAAGGAUAGCACACAAGGAGGAAGGAAAGUAUGAUGAAGGUAUUAAGUUUCCAUCACUAUAAUAAGACAUGUGAAGCAGAGGAAGGAUAGCACACAAGGAGGAAGGAAAGUAUGAUGAAGGUAUUGAGUUUCCAUCACUAUAAUAAGACAUGUGAAGCAGAGGAAGGAUAGCACACAAGGAGGAAGGAAAGUAUGAUGAAGGUAUUGAGUUUCCAUCACUAUAAUAAGACAUGUGAAGCAGAGGAAGGAUAGGACACAAGGAGGAAGGAAAGUAUGAUGAAGGUAUUGAGUUUCCAUCACUAUAAUAAGACAUGUGAAGCAGAGGAAGGAUAGCACACAAGGAGGAAGAAAAGUAUGAUGAAGGUAUUGAGUUUCCAU